CCUACGGGGCGCAGCAGUGGGGAAUAUUGGGCAAUGGGCGCAAGCCUGACCCAGCAACGCCGCGUGAAGGAAGAAGGCCCUCGGGUUGUAAACUUCUUUUGUCAGGGACGAAGAAAGUGACGGUACCUGACGAAUAAGCCACGGCUAACUACGUGCCAGCAGCCGCGGUAAUACGUAGGUGGCAAGCGUUAUCCGGAUUUACUGGGUGUAAAGGGCGUGUAGGCGGGACUGCAAGUCAGAUGUGAAAUUCCAGGGCUCAACCCUGGAACUGCAUUUGAAACUGUAGUUCUUGAGUGAUGGAGAGG
rnacentral:rRNA from 1 species